AGAGUAAAAUAGUACGUGAAAUUGUUGAAAGGGAAACGAUUGAAGUCAGUCGUACCGACGGAAAAUCAGCUCUUCGAGUGUGGACUUGUGGGCGUGCGUGAGCUUUUAACGGUCUCGCUGUUUGCAAUGUUUGUACUUUUUGGGUGUACUUUUUCGUAUGGUAGGCCAACGUCAGUUUCGAUUGCUAUAAAAUGACCGGCGGAAUGUAGCUUCGAUCUCGUAUUGAAGUGUUAUAGCCUCUGGUAGAUGUGGUGACCGGGACUGAGGAUUGCAACGAAUAUCCUUUGGGCUAUCCGUCUGAUCUCUGAAAGUUGCUUAGGUGCCGAAAGCGUGCUUACGGUUAUUUAAGUUUGACGGUCAAAAGGUUAGAACGUGAUUAAAUUCGUUAAGGAUGUUGGCGUAAUGGCUUUAAACGACC
rnacentral:rRNA from 1 species